rnacentral:rRNA from 1 species
UACGUAGGGUCCGAGCGUUGUCCGGAAUUACUGGGCGUAAAGAGCUCGUAGGUGGUUUGUCGCGUUGUUCGUGAAAACUCACAGCUCAACUGUGGGCGUGCGGGCGAUACGGGCAGACUGGAGUACUGCAGGGGAGACUGGAAUUCCUGGUGUAGCGGUGGAAUGCGCAGAUAUCAGGAGGAACACCAGCGGCGAAGGCGGCGCUCUGGGCCGGAACUGACGCUGAGGAGCGAAAGCGUGGGGAGCAAACAGG